GUUUAAAAAUAUGAUACGAUGAAUAUAUCAACAAUAAGUUUUCUUUUCUCGAAGUCUCAACGAACCUUUAUUCUUAACAAAGCUACAACAUCGUUUGGUGGUAAUCACUCGUGUGCAUCAAGGUGUUCCCUGGCUCGUUAGUCCUCUCUUCCAUAGCGUUCUCUACACUAUACGACGCUGUGAGUCUCAAUGGAGUGGUUGUUGGCGUCGUACUCAUCGCAAGGUGGAUUCUGUGAGGUGCGUCUGAAGGUUGUUGGCGUGUUCUUGGCGUCGGAGAAAUGUUAAGGGCGAGGGUACGAGAAUUCCGGUGAGUCGUCGGAAUUCUCGCCCCCUUUUUCCUUAUACAAACAUAAACAACUUGGUUGACUUGGCAGGGUUCUAGCUACUUGCACAUUGAGACUAGUUAAGCUUAAAAGUAUGAUUGUUAUACUUCAAGGUAAAUUCGAAUGGACAAUCGAGGCCCAAAAUGUGUCGAUAAAAUAUGAUAAGAAUGGUCGAUCUUAUUUAUUACGACAAUAAACCCGUUGUUACGCUUCCACAUCAAAGUGAGCUAUAGUACUCGAUUCUUUUUUGUUCGUUUUAAUGCCUAUUGGUAUUCCAAAAAUCUCUUUUGAAGUCCUAGAGAUGAAGAAGAAUCAUGGGUUGGCUUAUAGUGCGACUUGUCAGAUAUAUCGGGUUAUAUGAUAUUUCUCCGUUCUCUCCCCUGAUCGACGUAUCCUCUCUUUCACCUAAGACAGAUUGAUUUAGUUAUAAAAAAUUUGGAGCGUAAAGUGGUAUCGAAAUUAAUAUUAUCAAUUGGAAUAAUUUAUUGUUCUCUCGACUAUACUAAUAAAAUAAAGUAUCCCGGCUCAGCUUAGAAAAAAACCCAAUAGGAAAUUUGAAAUCGAGUAUCAAAAGCCCAUAAAUUUUUCUACGUUAAGUAACAAUGACCUUGCAAAUGGCUACUCACCGAGUAUUUUUAUACUCAUGCUAUUCUUCUCGUUCCAGACCAUACCCGAGUUUCCAUAGCUACUGACAAAGACAUUGCAAAGCAGUAAGACUAUGAUACUUCUUUUUUACAUCUGAGGUUUAGAUUUGUAUCUAUUUGGUCUCAGACAUUAAAUAGUAUC